rnacentral:misc_RNA from 1 species
GAUGAAGAACGUAGCGAAAUGCGAUAAGUAAUGCGAAUUGCAGAAUCCGUGAGUCAUCGAAUCUUUGAACGCACAUUGCUCCCUCUGGUAUUCCGGAGGGCAUGCCUGUUCGAGCGUCAUUAUCACCCCUCAAGCCCGGCUUGUUGUUGGAUGCAGCGCUUAUCCCGCUCCUCCCAAAGAUAAUGACGGCGUCUGCGACGACUCCUGUACACUGAGCUUUCGGGCACGUACACGGCUAGAAGUCCAGACCCGGUCGCCGUCCCCCCCGCGGGGACACCCAUUACCACAAGGUUGACCUCGGAUCAGGUAGGAAUACCCGCUGAACUUAAGCAUAUCAAUAAGCGGAGGA